UGGGGAAUAUUGCACAAUGGGCGAAAGCCUGAUGCAGCGACGCCGCGUGAGGGAUGACGGCCUUCGGGUUGUAAACCUCUUUCAGCAGGGACGAAGCGAAAGUGACGGUACCUGCAGAAGAAGCACCGGCUAACUACGUGCCAGCAGCCGCGGUAAUACGUAGGGUGCAAGCGUUGUCCGGAAUUACUGGGCGUAAAGAGUUCGUAGGCGGUUUGUCGCGUCGUUUGUGAAAACUCACAGCUCAACUGUGAGCCUGCAGGCGAUACGGGCAGACUUGAGUACUGCAGGGGAGACUGGAAUUCCUGGUGUAGCGGUGAAAUGCGCAGAUAUCAGGAGGAACACCGGUGGCGAAGGCGGGUCUCUGGGCAGUAACUGACGCUGAGGAACGAAAGCGUGGGUAGCAAACAG
rnacentral:rRNA from 1 species